UAUGGGAUUUGUGUUUUAGCAGAGUUCGAGUAGGUUUUUUUCUGUUUCAAAAUUUUUUUACUGUUUUUUUUUUCACCCGCCUAAUACGUAGGUACGAUAUUAGCGUUUAAAAUAACUCGCAGCGUGACGCGACGCGACGCGACGCGACGCGACGUCGAGUUUCGUUUCGAAAAUACGAUGUACCUCUACCUAUCUAAGAUUUGGUGCUUGCAAAGUUGUAUAGGGGUGUCGGUCUGUCGGUGUACGUAUAUUAUUCUGCAAAGUUAGUAAUUUUCACCUCCCACUUACCAAAGUUGUUACCUGGGGUGAGAAAACAUUUGCCAUUUGCGAUUACCAUUUUAAUUAUGUAUUUUUCCUAUAUCUGCAAAAAAAAGUGGCGCCAGUAGCCGUGAAAAAAUGAAAUAAAAUGAAAAAAAAAAAUGAAUAAAAUAAAUUCGUCGAUCCAAAUAGGUAAUCCUUUUUUUACGGAAAAAUUGUCUUCGGCCCUUCAAAACAUAUCGGCUCCCUAUUUAAGGAACCUCUCAAAGUUGAAAACAUGCACGAAUAAAAACAAAUGAGAAUAGAUCAAAAUCGGGGAAUUUUUUUGAAAAUAUCUCAUUUCUACAUUGCUAUUGUUCUAAUUGGGUAGAUAAUCUUCUUUUUAAGAAAAAAAAAACCUUCGUUGGACCCCCAAAUGACGUUGGUUUUCUCGUACAUAUAAAGCCCCUCAAAUUUGGAAAAAAUAUUAAAAAAUGAAAAAUUGACGCCUGUAAACGUUUUUUGAAGAUCUUUUAACGAACACCGGUAGGUAUAGGUAAUAUAAAAAUAAUGCGUAAACUAUCGAAACGAACACCUAGGCGGAUGUCAGAAAUCAGUCAUAUCCGCAAUAGCAAUAACGUCAAGCUGCGAACCAGUAUGUUGGCGACAGGCGACAUUGAUCGUGAAGUAACGCUCUUCUUCACAAAAGUUUCGCGUAAUGUACGAGUUAAAUAUGGAAAUCAUGAUUUCGAAAAGUUGACGUAACUAAUUUUAAUUCGCGUUUAUACGAUAAUAAUCAUAUUUUGAAAAGUGUUCGCUACCUAUUCGCAUACCUAUCGUGGAAAUUACUUGGAAACAUUUCUUCCACUUGCAAGAAAACAGACGAGCAAGUAGAAAAAAAUACAACUUUGAUAAUUACGAUUAAAAAAACGAAAAUGCCGAAUGAAGAUAUCAUACGCGUAUUGUGGAAUCACGUUACAGAAUAUUGGCAGUUAUUACGUGAAGAACGUAUGCGAGUACAUCGGUUUACCCAUAUGUGUUAUUGGUUUGGUUUUCAACCUGCUUAAUAUAUUGGUAUUUACGAGGAAAGCUAUGAUUUCCUCGUCUAAUCUCAUAUUCGCUCAUUUAGCCUUUAGCCUUCGUAGAUUUCUUGGUUUUACUGGCAAACAUAGGUACCACAUUUUUGGCUUACGUACAUCCAACCUAAAAGUGGUUUCAGCGUACAACUAAGCUACGGAUGGACAAUAGGCCUAUAUUACACUCACGGCGACAAUUUCAUAAUCACGUUUCAGUUCGUAUCUGCAUUCCUGACAGUGCAGUUGGCUGCAUGGAGAUACAUAGCUGUAGUGUAUCCGUUCAAGGAACGACAUUGGUGCAACAAGAGAAUCACACGGAUGUUGUGAUUGCUGGAUAAGUGGAUACGUUACAUGUUGCUUUUUUUUUACUAUACCGAAAUAUUUGUCCUUUCAAAUUGAAGCUAUAAACAAAAAUCAAAACACGGUAGCUUCGUUCAAGCGAAAUGUCAUGAUAUACACAACGGGGGAAAUCGUCAACGGAGUGAUGAUCAGACUAUUGCCGUUAGUCGAGAAUAAUUGUUACUUUAUUAGCAAGGAAAACCCUUCAAGAGAAAGCAACUAAAACUCCAACCGCAAGCAUCCGAACAAACAUGAAAAAUGUGAAAAUGAGACAAAAACAAAGUAACAGGUCAACAGCAGUAUUGUUGACAGUGGUGACAUUAUUUUUCACCAGCGAAUUUCCAAAAGGAGUACUAGUUAUACUGCGAUUGAUGUACGAGGAUUUUUCAGCUCCGUGUUAUAGUUCAUUAAUAGCGAUAUUCGUAACAAUGAGUAAUAUCAAUAUAUCCAUUACAUUCGUGGUAUAUUACCUAUAUGUUAGGUCGACAGUUCAGAAUCGCAUUUAAAUCUUUGUUCAACUGUAAUGUUGACAAUACUGCGUCUGAUCAAAAACAAACCACUCUUGCUUCGAGUAAUAAGCAUACAUCGAGGAGUUCGGUACAGAGGUAUUAAUUUAUGUAAAUUUACGCAUUCGUCGUUUUCCUCAUCAUAAAUGAAUACAACGAAUACCACAUUAUUAUUAUUUUCUCAUUCGCGAUGCUUCUCAAACCUGCGGGACCCUCUCUGUUUGAGUGACUCGUGAAAAUCGGUUUGUACAGUUAGGUCGUUUCUCGCUUCCUCGCUUCGUUGAUUUGGUGAUUUGAGGAUGCUCCAGCGAUGACAAAAAUUCAGAAACAGUUACUAAAAAAAGGCUCGAAUGUCCAUUUCUUUUGUAGCCAGGGUGUUCACUAAAAUCCAGAAAGCUGAAUUUCUGUUUUUUUUUUUUUUUUUUUUUUUUUUUUUUUUUUUUUUA